AGUACGGCCGCAAGGUUAAAACUCAAAUGAAUUGACGGGGGCCCGCACAAGCGGUGGAGCAUGUGGUUUAAUUCGAUGCAACGCGAAGAACCUUACCUGGUCUUGACAUCCACGGAAGUUUUCAGAGAUGAGAAUGUGCCUUCGGGAACCGUGAGACAGGUGCUGCAUGGCUGUCGUCAGCUCGUGUUGUGAAAUGUUGGGUUAAGUCCCGCAACGAGCGCAACCCUUAUCCUUUGUUGCCAGCGGUCCGGCCGGGAACUCAAAGGAGACUGCCAGUGAUAAACUGGAGGAAGGUGGGGAUGACGUCAAGUCAUCAUGGCCCUUACGACCAGGGCUACACACGUGCUACAAUGGCGCAUACAAAGAGAAGCGACCUCGCGAGAGCAAGCGGACCUCAUAAAGUGCGUCGUAGUCCGGAUUGGAGUCUGCAACUCGACUCCAUGAAGUCGGAAUCGCUAGUAAUCGUGGAUCAGAAUGCCACGGUGAAUACGUUCCCGGGCCUUGUACACACCGCCCGUCACACCAUGGGAGUGGGUUGCAAAAGAAGUAGGUAGCUUAACCUUCGGGAGGGCGCUUACCACUUUGUGAUUCAUGACUGGGGUGAAGUCGUAACAAGGUAACCGUAGGGGAACCUGCGGUUG
rnacentral:rRNA from 4 species